CAGUCGCCGCGGUAAGACGGAGGGUGCUAGCGUUGUUCGGAAUCACUGGGCGUAAAGGGCGCGUAGGCGGCCUGUUAAGUCGGAUGUGAAAGCCCGGGGCUCAACCCCGGAACUGCAUCCGAGACUGGCAGGCUUGAGACCGGGAGAGGAGGGUGGAAUAUCCAGUGUAGAGGUGAAAUUCGUAGAUAUUGGAUGGAACACCGGUGGCGAAAGCGGCUCUCUGGCCCGGAUCUGACGCUGAGGCGCGAAAGCGUGGGGAGCAAACAGGAUUAGAUACCCGAGUAGUCCCUGUCUCUUAUAC
rnacentral:rRNA from 1 species